CGCAGUAGCACACUUUUGGUAUGAGGAAUAUGGCAGCGUCCUGAGUCCAGUUGGGGGGAAUACGGCGUAACUGAGCACCUUCAGCAUCACACUGGGAAAACUGAGACGCACCGGGCACAGUCAGAGGAGGGUGGGGGGCUGAGGGACGGCUACGAAUAACACCCGUUAGCGAUUUUACAGGUCCUGUGAAAAGAUGAAUGUCGUCAAAGAAAACAGAGACCUGGCCUGUUUCUAUACUACCAAACACUCCUGGAGGGGAAAGUACAAGCGAGUCUUCUCAGUGGGGACACAUGGCAUUACCACUUACAACCCAACCACGCUAGAAGUAACAAAUCAGUGGACUUAUGGAGACAUCUGCGGUAUUGGCCCGGU